rnacentral:rRNA from 1 species
AACGCGAAGAACCUUACCAAGGUUUGACAUGCAGGGAAAAGCCGUAGAGAUACGGUGUCCGUAAGGGUCCUGCACAGGUGGUGCAUGGCUGUCGUCAGCUCGUGUCGUGAGAUGUUGGGUUAAGUCCCGCAACGAGCGCAACCCUCGUUCUAUGUUGCCAGCGGAUAAUGCCGGGGACUCAUAGGAGACUGCCGGGGUCAACUCGGAGGAAGGUGGGGAUGACGUCAAGUCAUCAUGCCCCUUAUGUCUUGGGCUGCAAACAUGCUACAAUGGCCGGUACAGAGGGCUGCGAAACCGCAAGGUUGAGCGAAUCUCAAAAAGCCGGUCUCAGUUCGGAUUGGGGUCUGCAACUCGACCCCAUGAAGUCGGAGUCGCUAGUAAUCGCGAAUCAGCAACGUCGCGGUGAAUACGUUCCCGGGCCUUGUA